GAUGAACGCUGGCGGCGUGCCUAAUACAUGCCAGUCGAGCGAACAGAUGAGGAGCUUGCUCCUCUGACGUUAGCGGCGGACGGGUGAGUAACACGUGGAUAACCUACCUAUAAGACUGGGAUAACUUCGGGAAACCGGAGCUAAUACCGGAUAAUAUAUUGAACCGCAUGGUUCAAUAGUGAAAGACGGUUUUGCUGUCACUUAUAGAUGGAUCCGCGCCGCAUUAGCUAGUUGGUAAGGUAACGGCUUACCAAGGCAACGAUGCGUAGCCGACCUGAGAGGGUGAUCGGCCACACUGGAACUGAGACACGGUCCAGACUCCUACGGGAGGCAGCAGUAGGGAAUCUUCCGCAAUGGGCGAAAGCCUGACGGAGCAACGCCGCGUGAGUGAUGAAGGUCUGCGGAUCGUAAAACGCUGUUAUUAGGGAAGAACAAAUGUGUAAGUAACUAUGCACGUCUUGACGGUACCUAAUCAGAAAGCCACGGCUAACUACGU
rnacentral:rRNA from 1 species